UCCGGCUUAUCACCGGCGGUUUCUUUAGAGUGCCCAACUAAAUGAUGGCAACUAAAGACGAGGGUUGCGCUCGUUGCGGGACUUAACCCAACAUCUCACGACACGAGCUGACGACAGCCAUGCAGCACCUGUGCAGGAUCUCCGAAGAGGGGCUCUCGUUUCUGAGAGCUUGCUCCUGCAUGUCAAGCCUAGGUAAGGUUCUUCGCGUUGCGUCGAAUUAAACCACAUGCUCCACCGCUUGUGUGGAUCCCCGUCAAUUCCUUUGAGUUUUAAUCUUGCGACCGUACUCCCCAGGCGGGAUGCUUAAUGCGUUAGCUGCGCCACUGAAGAGCAAGCUCCCCAACGGCUAGCAUCCAUCGUUUACAGCGUGGACUAC
rnacentral:misc_RNA from 1 species